AGCAGUGUGGUAUGGUGGUGUGCAGACACAGGCAACCCACUUCAACCUGAUGGCGCAUGAGACCUUCCCCUUCAGACUGGGGUUCAACUGGAGUCUGUAUUUGGGUGGAGGGACUUCUGGGGCCACCAUCCUUUUAGCCUACAAACUGGAUGGAAAGAUGCAACGCUGCACAUAGCUUUUAUUUCCACAACCUGCAGAGCUCCUGAGGAGGAUGUUUUCCUUCCUUGCCCAGGAUCCAGCCAGCACUGGUGUCAGCCAGUGCACUCAGCCUGCACAGCCAGCAGAGCGAUGUACAAGGGCACUGCUUCAUCUGCUGCAUUGUUACGCUAGAUAGCUUAUUGCUCAUGUGAACUGGAAAGGAAAAGAGCAGAAAUAGUGCAACAGGGGACAAUAUGAAUUAAGGAUGAAGAACAAGACGGAUUAUUGUUGAAGCAUGCUGGUCAUCAUGAGGGGUAUCCUGGCUUAGGGCAUUUCCAGAGCACAUAGUUGAGGGUUUGUGUGAGUCAUCAACCUUGUAACAAGCUGCUGAAGAAACUUCUUAUUUAGGGGCCAGUAUUUGUUGUGUA